rnacentral:tRNA from 1 species
CAAAAGAUAGUUUAAAAUAAAAAAUUUUAAUUUUGGAGAUUAAGGAUAUAUAAUAUUAAUAUUUUUUUGA